GAUCCAGUGGAGACGCAGUGGGGCCUGUAGCUCAGAGGAUUAGAGCACGUGGCUACGAACCACGUCGGGGGUUCGAAUCCCUCCUCGCCCAC
rnacentral:tRNA from 1 species